rnacentral:rRNA from 1 species
AUUGAACGCUGGCGGCAGGCCUAACCCAUGCAAGUCGAACGAGUGGCGGAAGGGUGAGUAAUGUCUGGGAAACUGCCUGAUGGAGGGGGAUAACUACUGGAAACGGUAGCUAAUACCGCAUAACAUCAGAUGUGCCCAGAUGGGAUUAGCUAGUAGGUUGGGGAAAGGCUCACCUAGGCGACGAUCCCUAGCUGGUAUGAGAGGAUGACCAGCCACACUGGAACUGAUACACGGUCCAGACUCCUACGGUAGGCAGCAGUGGGGAAUAUUGCACAAUGGGCGCAAGCCUGAUGCAGCCAUGCCGCGUGUAUGAAGAAGGCCUUCGGGUUGUAAAGUACUUUCAGUGGGGAGGCGUUACCCGCAGAAGAAGCACCGGCUAACGCCGUGCCAGCAGCCGCGGUAAUAC